GAUGAACGCUAGCGGCAGGCUUAAUACAUGCAAGUCGAGGGGCAGCAUGAAGUAGCAAUACUUUGAUGGCGACCGGCAAACGGGUGCGGAACACGUACACAACCUUCCUUUAAGUGGGGAAUAGCCCAGAGAAAUUUGGAUUAAUACCCCGUAACCCAACGAAGUGGCAUCACUUUGGUGUUAUAGUUUCGGCGCUUAAUGAUGGGUGUGCGUAUGAUUAGAUAGUUGGCGAGGUAACGGCUCACCAAGUCUACGAUCAUUAGCUGAUGUGAGAGCAUGAUCAGCCACACGGGCACUGAGACACGGGCCCGACUCCUACGGGAGGCAGCAGUAAGGAAUAUUGGUCAAUGGACGCAAGUCUGAACCAGCCAUGCCGCGUGAAGGAUUAAGGUCCUCUGGAUUGUAAACUUCUUUUAUAUGGGACGAAAAAAGGUCUUUCUAGACCCCUUGACGGUACCAUAUGAAUAAGCACCGGCUAACUCCGUG
rnacentral:rRNA from 1 species